GACCCGCUUUUAUCUCUCUUAUUCCUCACGUUGGAUUACUCAAUGCACAUACAAAUGACUAAAAAAUAAAAUCAUAUUCCCAGAUACUAUGCUACUCCAGUAUCCAGGUGGCAUGUAAGCCACUAUGUAACUGGCAAAGACAAUUGAGAAUUCAGACGAGAGAUAUUGCCACAUUGGCAUGAGAGGAAUUAAUCAUUCAAUGCAACUAAAUUUCAGAAAAAGAAGUUAUUAAGCAGAGACAACGGAGCUUGCAUAUUACAUUAUUACAUAGAUCAAUCUUCCUUGCAACUUGAUUGGAUUUUCAUUGACCUUGUAUGCAUAUGUAAGAGAGAAUCUGCAUAAACAAAGAUUAGAGAUUCGGGGGAUUAAUGAAAAGAGAGUAGUAGGACAGAGAGAAAGUGGACAAAUCAGUAGGAAGUAGGACUAGUAGCACACCUAGUCCUAAAAAAUAGGGACCGGCCUCACUGAGGCAUGGAGCUGCUCGUGGUAACAGAGCAGCGGAGUUACCUAGGUGAAUAACGUACGUGGCGAAAAAUAUUCCACGGCUAGCACAAAACCUGUGAAGUAUGAAGACAACACAAUUACAUCUACAUGAGGAGCAGGCUGCGAGGUUGGCGGUAUUUACCACGGUGACUUUCUAUAGGUCAGGCCUCUAAUAGUGGCCCACCGAAAAGUUACAAGCUCUGUGCACAAUAAAAAAAACAGGGACAAGGAACCAUUUACGAAGUGCUGCAUGUAUUUCCUAUGUAACAAAGAAAUAAUAGGAAACUGGAGAUGUGUUUAUUGGACUAGCACAUAGUUCCAUAUGCUAGUCAGUAGUAAGUGAGGGCAUUCUACAUUGUUUGCUGUAUCACUGCACUAGGACAUCAAAACAAACGACAAAGUUAAAGGUUAUGUUUCACUUUGUCAUUCAACUUGAUGGCAACAACUUGUACAACUAAAAAAUAUCAGGUCAUUAACAGCAGAUGCUUUACUUAACUAUAGCUUGUUAAAAAUAAAGCUAAAAGUCUGCACAACCAUGCAUACUUUUGUAUGCUAAAAACCCUUAGAAGAAUAAUAUAGAAUAUUGAAUCCCUGAUUCUCAACUGAACAUUUACUAAAUGCAUUGUAAGAAUCUGGCAAGCCCUUGUAGUACUUCUCCGUAUGCCUACAUGCAAGUGUACAUAUGCAGCGCGUUGCAUCAGAUUUCAGCAAGUACUAACAUCUAAUCUAAGAUGUUUAACAUAUGGGGUGUUGUACCUAGGUGUAUCCAUCCAAUCUUUGUCCAUGCUAGUUGCACCUGCACACAUGAUUAAUAGUGAAUUUAAAUGCCUCACACACUGUCCACACACAAAAAAACUAGAAAAUUCAAAAUGUGAAUAGAACUCUGAAACUGAAACUAAAAUCAAAAUCAAACCCUUUCUAUGCCUCGCAUGUGGAUCAUAGGAAACAAAAUAGGUGUUCCAGGAAUUGAACUUCAUAGGAAACAAUUAAGUCUAGAAAGAAUUCAUUAUAUCAUUAUCAAAUAGUGUCUAACAGUAUAAGAAAAAACCUUUUGGAAAUCCACAUGUCGUUCGGAUCCCGCUGGUUAGUAGGUUUGGCCCCCUUCUUUUGCCAGGCACUGCUUUAAAUGUUCACCAACAAUGUUAUACAUGUGGUGUCAUACAUUGUCCACACACAAAAUAACAGGAAAAGGCCAAUUCUAAAAUAUACAAGUUCAAGAUAAGUUGCUGCUUAUCAAGGAAUAGCAAGAGAUUAUGCAAGUCAGGUACAAUAUUGUUAUCAUGACAACUAGGAACUAAAGGUGCCACGCUAAAUUGGUAUCUUAAUUUAUGGGCGGAGGCAAGAGCUGAAACUGAACCAGAAUCUCAAGUUUUGGUUUGCCUUAUAAUGUAUUACUGCUACACAGAUAAUUAUUGUUCUUGUGCAUGAUCUCAACUUGUCACAGGACAUCAUUAGCAUUUUCAUAUAUUCUCUCGGAUCCCACUUUUCAAAGCCAGAACAACACUCAAGAGUCUAAACUAUGGUGACAACCCAAGGUUCAGAGCAAUAAAUAUAUCAUUAAAAUCAGUCUAAAUGUGCCAUUUUCCACAAAGUAUCAUCAUAGUUAAGAUUUAUAGCUAAGUUCUAUGUUCCAAAUUUAAGCAGUAUGCUAGUUACUUAUGAUGAUAAUACACUAAGCAAAUUUCUUUUGAUAACGAAGGCCAACCAAAUUGACCACUAUGCAGAAGGUGUGCUCAUGCAUAACAACUACACUGUUUUCUUCUCAAAGCACAUAGUACGUGUAAAUUAGCUUUCAAAAUCCACACAUAACAUAAGCAGGAACAUGUGGAGGGGAAAAACAAUUCUUCCGAAGAGAAAUCGUUGUAUUGCUGGGAAAUAGAUAACACAUGAGGUGGAUAAAGACCUUGCAUUAGAAGGACUAAAACCAACCCACUGUCCUAGUUGGAUCUGGAAGAGGCAUCUUGGAGCAUACCUUCUUGGCCGGCAGCACCUCCAGGAGAUGGUGAGCUUGGGCGCGGACGAAAAGGGAAGCUCCCGGCAGGGUUUGGAGGGCGACGGCAAGACCAC
rnacentral:lncRNA from 1 species